rnacentral:rRNA from 1 species
CAAUAGCGUAUAUUUAAGUUGUUGCAGUUAAAAAGCUCGUAGUCGAAUUUCUGCCAGUCGCGGUAGGUCUGCCUUUCGGUGAGUACUUGCCAUGAUUGGCAUCUAUUCGAGGUUGGGCGUUGCACUUAAUUGUGUGGGUCUAAUUUCGGAGCUGAUACUUUGAGAAAAUUAGAGUGUUCCAAGCAGGCGCUUGCCUGAAUACUGCAGCAUGGGAUAUCGAGAUAAGACUUCGGUCCUAUCUUGUUGGUUCUCGGGAUUGAAGUAAUGGUUAAUAGGGAUAGUUGGGGGCAUUCGUAUUUAACUGUCAGAGGUGAAAUUCUUGGAUUUGUUAAAGACGAACUACUGCGAAAGCAUUUGCCAAGGAUGUUUNCAUUGA